rnacentral:lncRNA from 1 species
CUUGCCAAAACUUGAUUACAAAGUUAUUAAACACAAAACCAAUUAAAAUUGGGCGAACAUGUGGGUAAACGGUUUUGGGUGCGAACAUGUAGGGUGCGAAAGUGAAAGGGGGCGAACAUGAGUGGGUGCGAACGUGAAUGGGUGCGAACGGACCCGGAUUCGAAAAUUUCAAUAGUUUCAAUAAAAAAAUCCUAGUAAGUUGCUAUUUUAAUUUUGAAAAUAAUGUAAAAAAUGAUAAAAUAAUUAAUGUCCGCACCCAAUC